rnacentral:misc_RNA from 1 species
GAUGAAGAACGUGGCGAAAUGCGAUAAGUAAUGUGAAUUGCAGAAUUCAGUGAAUCAUCGAAUCUUUGAACGCACAUUGCGCCCGCCAGUAUUCUGGCGGGCAUGCCUGUUCGAGCGUCAUUUCAACCAUCAAGCCCCCGGCUUGUGUUGGGGACCUGCGGCUGCCGCAGGCCCUGAAAACCAGUGGCGGGCUCGCAAGUCACUCCGAGCGUAGUAAUACAUCUCGCUCAGGGCGUGCUGCGGGUUCCGGCCGUUAAAAAGCCUUAUUUACCCAAGGUUGACCUCGGAUCAGGUAGGAAGACCCGCUGAACUUAAGCAUAUCAAUAAGCGGAGGA